CGGUCGCACGAUGUACUGCUGCCUGCCCAGCACCUGCAAGAAGAACGUGUCCGAGCGAUGAAGAAUAAGCGGCGGCGACACCCGCAAAAGAAGACACGCGUUCUCCGAAAAGGUGCUCUAUGAAAAAUAUAUUUGGCUCGGAGCACGUUUUUCGGUAUUCGGAUGCCAACUAUAUCGACACUGACAUCUCUUCAGGUCCGCCAGAUACAAUAUAUUUUUAAAGCACAUUCUUUUACGAGCUACACGUCUUUUACAGGCGUGUCCUUAACUCUGGAAACAAACAGAACUUGUGUUGUUUAAAUAAGUUGUAUAUGUAACACACGUCAUGAUUUCCGUUCGCUUUAGUGGCACUUUCCAUUCACUCCCGUCUCUUUUUGUCGAAUCGCAAAACAGCGAAUUCAGUCGCCUUGGGAUAAGCUUUCCGAGUCUCUCCCUUGAAUCACGAUCGCAUAACGCGACAUCACGAAUAUCGAUUCUUUCAAGAUUUCACUAUCAAAUUGUUAGACCAGUUUCCAUUGAGCUUCUUGAUAGAAACGUAAUUGUAAAUACAUAAAAAAAAAAAAAAUAAAUAAAUAAAAUUAUAUAUUU